rnacentral:rRNA from 1 species
UUCUGGGAGGAUUGACAGAUUGACAGCUCUUUCUUGAUUCGGUGGAUGGUGGUGCAUGUCCAUUCUUAGAUGGUGGAGCGAUUUGUCUGGUUAAUUCCGAUAUCAAACGAGAAUUAAAUAGGUGCGUGGUUCUCUGCACCUUGCACCCUUCUUAGGUGGACAAGUGGCUCCUAGCCGCACGAAACAGAGCCAUAACAGGUCUGUGAUGCCCUUAGAU